rnacentral:rRNA from 1 species
UACAGAGGGUGCAAGCGUUGUUCGGAAUUAUUGGGCGUAAAGCGCGGGCAGGCGGCUGUCUAAGUCUGAUGUGAAAGCGCCCGGCUUAACCGGGCGAGGCCAUUGGAAACUGGAGAGCUGGAGGGCAGUAGAGGCAGGCGGAAUUCCCGGUGUAGUGGUGAUAUGCGUAGAUAUCGGGAGGAACACCUGUGGCGAAGGCGGCUUUCUGGGCCUUACCUGACGCUGAGACGCGAAAGCGUGGGGAGCGAACCGG